GAUGAACGCUGGCGGCGUGCCUAAGGCAUGCAAGUCGAGCGCGAAAGUUCCUUCGGGAGCGAGUAGAGCGGCGGACGGGUGAGUAAUACAUAGGUAAUCUACCUUCGAGCUUGGGAUAACCCCGCGAAAGUGGGGCUAAUACCGGAUAAGACCACGUAAUUAUUUUACGGGGUAAAAGGUGGCUUAUUUUUUAAAUGAGCUAUCACUUGAGGAUGAGCCUGUGGCCUAUCAGCUAGUUGGCGGGGUAAGAGCCCACGAAGGCUAUGACGGGUAGGUGGUCUGAGAGGACGACCAGCCACACUGGGACUGAGAGACGGCCCAGGCUCCUACGGGAGGCAGUAGUGGGGAAUAUUGGGCAAUGGGCGAAAGCCUGACCCAGCGACGCCGCGUGGGCGAUGAAGGCCUUCGGGUUGUAAAGCCCUGUCAUGCGGAAAGAACGACCCUGAGACGCAUACUCUCAGGGAGUGACGGUACCGCAGGAGGAAGCACCGGCUAACUCCGUGCCAGCAGCCGCCGCAG
rnacentral:rRNA from 1 species